rnacentral:rRNA from 1 species
AUUGAACGCUGGCGGCAUGCUUUACACAUGCAAGUCGAACGGUAACAGGCCUUCGGGUGCUGACGAGUGGCGAACGGGUGCGUAAUGCAUCGGAACGUACCCAGAGGUGGGGGAUAACGCAGCGAAAGCUGUGCUAAUACCGCAUGUGAUCUGAGGAUGAAAGCGGGGGACCGAGCAGCAAUGUUUGGCCUCGCGCCUUUGGAGCGGCCGAUGUCGGAUUAGCUAGUCGGGAAGGUAAAGGCUUACCAAGGCGACGAUGCGUAGCUGGUCUGAGAGGGGGAGAGGCAACACUGGAACUGAGACACGGUCCAGACUCCGACGGGAGGCAGAAGGAGGGAAUCGUCCGCAAUGGGCGAAAGACUGACGGAGCAACGCAGAGUGAGUGAUGAAGGUCGUCGGAUCGUAAAACUAUGUUAUUAGGGAAGAACAAAUGUGUAAGUAACUAUGCACGUCUUGACGGUACCUAAUCAGAAAGCCACGGCUAACUACGUG